rnacentral:miRNA from 1 species
UAUCACAGCCAGCUUUGUAUGAGCA